ACCCUGCAGCUCUGCACAGGAGCCCAGCCCUGGACUCCCAGCUCAGCCCACUCAGUGAUCAGGACUGAACACAGCUGCUCACCAUGGAGAGUGUGCUCAGCUGGGUCUUCCUAGUGGCUGUUUUCAAAGGUGUCCAGUGUGAGGUGCAGCUGGUGGAGUCUGGGGGAGGCCUGGUGCAGCCUGGGGGUUCCCUGCAACUCUCCUGUGCAACCUCUGGAUUCACCUUCAGUAACUACUGGAUGCACUGGGUUCGCCAGGCUCCAGGGAAGGGGCUGGAGUGGGUUGGAGAAAUUAACCCAAGUGGUGGUACAACAAACUAUGCCAACUCUGUGAAGGGCCGAUUCACCAUCUCCAGAGAGAACUCCAAGAACACACUGUACCUGCAAAUGAGCAGUCUGAGAACUGAGGACACAGCCACCUAUUACUGCACUAGAGACACAGGCGCCUAG